GAUGAAGAACGUAGCGAAAUGCGAUAAGUAAUGUGAAUUGCAGAAUUCAGUGAAUCAUCGAAUCUUUGAACGCACAUUGCGCCCGGUAGUAUUCUGCCGGGCAUGCCUGUUCGAGCGUCAUUUCAACCAUCAAGCCCCAGCGCUUGUGUUGGGGGCCUGCGGCUGCCGCAGCCCCCUAAAAGCAGUGGCGGGCUCGCUAUCACAACGAGUGCAGUAGUUCAUCUUCUCUCCGGUCUUGUGAGGCGGGUUCCGGCAGUGAAACACCCCACUACAUUCAAGGUUGACCUCGGAUCAGGUAGGAAUACCCGCUGAACUUAAGCAUAUCAUAAGCGGAGGA
rnacentral:misc_RNA from 1 species